AGAGAAGAGAGGCUCAAACUGAAAUCUGAGGAGCCUCAGCAUUCAGAACUCAACUGGGCGCUGUGGCUCAAGCCUGCAAUCCCAGCACUUUGGGAGGAUGAGGCAGGCAGAACACCUGAGGUUAGAAGUUUGAGGCCAACAUGGCCAAACUUCGUCUCUACUGAAAAUAUAAAAAUUAGCUGUGUGUGGUGGUGAGUGCCUGUAAUCCCAGCUACUCAGGAGGCUGAGGCAGAAGAGUCUAUUGAACCUGGAAGGCGAAGGUUGCAGUGAGCUGAGAUCACACCACUGCCCUCCAGCCUGGGCAACAGAGCAAGACUCCAUAUCAGAAAAAAAAAAAAAGAAAGAAAGAAAAAGAAAAUAACUCAAUGGAGCACAAGCAGCUGAGUAAUGCCCCAGGAAGCCGGCGUCAUUGUUGGACAGCUCAGAUGUUCAGGAUGUUUCAUUUUGAACCUACCUCAUUGGAAUUUCAAAAUAUUAGCCUCUUUGGAGCAAUACGGAGCAAGUCUGUUCCUUCAAGUAGAUGAAAAGUUCCCUGCAUGCCUUCCAUUGGACUUCUCCCCUUUAGCUUAAAAAUAGCCACAGUCCUGAAACAUGUCUCAGAAGCAGAUGUCACCCAAACCCUACUCUUCCAACUCAGCCAGCCAGCCACAUGCACGACCCCAAAGCAAAGAAGAGGCAGCGACCUGAGAAGCUACAUAUUGACUUGGCGCUACCACGGGUGUAGGAGCCUGCAUUGCUGAAUCACAGGAUGAAGGCGAAUCCCUGCCAGCCUCCAUCCGUCUCCAGCAAAGGAAUGGAGCAGCAUUCAGAACUGUUGCAAGAAAGCCAGAGAGCCAGCCUUGGAGGCCGUGCACCCAGGAGCACCGCCCAGAGAGGUCUCCACGGCCGCUUCCCCUGACACUGCCCAGCCACUGCGCAGAGGCAGCCAAAGUCCAGGUUGACACUGGACAACAAACACCAGAACCUCUGCCCCUGCUGCCAGAAGCUCUAAUUCUCACUGUCACCUCCCAAG
rnacentral:lncRNA from 1 species